rnacentral:rRNA from 1 species
GCAAGUCGAACGGUAACAGAUCUUUCGGGAUGCUGACGAGUGGCGCACGGGUGCGUAACGCGUAUGCAACCUACCCUUUACUGGAGGAUAGCCCGGGGAAACUCGGAUUAAUACUCCAUAGUAUUACCAGAAGGCAUCUGAAGGUAAUUAAAGAUUUAUUGGUAAAGGAUGGGCAUGCGUACCAUUAGUUAGUUGGUAAGGUAAUGGCUUACCAAGACGAUGAUGCAUAGCCGACCUGAGAGGGUGAUC